AUACUGAUGCGGGAUGCAGUUUCUUCACUGCUCUCUACAUUUUAGAUUAGAAAAUGAAAGGGGAAAUAUUUUAGAUUGGAGAAAGAAAUAAACACAACAUAUCAGUCACCAUACAGCUCAACUAAGCAGCCUAAGAUUCUGUACAAGAACAAACAGGAAAUAAAAAAAAUAAAAAAUAAAAUGCAUACUAUGAUAACACAUUACAUUUAUUUUCCAGAAGGAGAAAGAGGAUUGGCUAUCUGGUUGAGCUCAUGAAAUCUUGAGAAACUGGCCUCAGUUUCAUUAUAACUGAGGAGCCUUUGAAAUCCUCCUAAACAAGAAAACAGUACCAUUGUUUAGCUGCACAAACUGUCGAGCAAAACAUAGCAUCCUCUUAACAUAACCGUCUCUAAACCUUCUCAAAAGCUUCAUUUGUAACACGCUUUUUUGUUGCAAUUUUGGCAUUACUCUAAUCCUCCAUUGCUUCCAACGGCUCCGACCUCUCACAUUGUUCUUGUCACUCAGCCUCCGGUAUAGCCUUCUUCUUCUGUACCUCUUGAUCACGCCUGCACCAAAAGUAGAAGCAACCUUCUCCAUACGUACCGUCUACACAAGGGAUUACAUGACCAAAUGCAAACAAGGCAAGUGAGAGGUGUUUGAGAGAGGCAGAGCUAGAUGGUUAUACGCCU
rnacentral:lncRNA from 1 species